rnacentral:lncRNA from 1 species
AUCCAUAUAGAGAGAGAAAUGAUCCGGAGAUAGAAAAUUUAUGGAGAUAGAAACUUUUGGAGAGAGAAGCUUGUAGAGAGAGAGAAUCUAGACAAAGUUUCCCCAUUCAUCUUGAGACAAGGGAACCUCCACCAGCGAUGGUGGUCAUGGCCGAUGGUUGCUGUAGCCACAGUCGUGCAAGCCCUGUAGCUGGCAAUCGGCGGCGAAGAAAGCAGCCGGAAAAAUCAACCAAAACAACGGUGACAGGGCUUCGAUCCUUAACCCAUGUGACAACGGUAACCGGAGAUCGGGGGCUCCGGCCACGACUACACGCCAACAUGGGUGGCUGGUCAAGAACUUUGGAGACACAUGCCGACGGCGCGAAAGUCCAGAAAAAAGAGAGACAAGGCCAAAAAUUAGAUCUAAAAAUAGGGAAAUGGCUUACCGAUUGAAAUCCGGCAAUUUCACAUCCAUAUCGCGUUCGGCGGCUGCUAUAUGGGGUAGGGAUGGGAGGAGAGACAAUGCCGGUGAGGUAGGAGGCGAUGGUGCCUCAUCUCCGGCGAGAUCUCAAGUCCCACAUGGUGCCAGUCUAUCAGAAGAUAAAGAAGAAAAUGUGGCCCAAAUCGGCGGUGAUUUCCGAUGAAAUGACUCGAAGGGGUGCUUGAAGGUUCUAAAUAAAGCUAGGAGGUCAUCGGAAUCAGGCUCAGAGUCGGAUUUCAUCUGGUGAAUUUGGGGAGGAGAAGACUUCCAUCGGAAGCUUUCUCUCUUUUCGGCUUUUCCUUUU